CCAAUAGCGUAUAUUAAAGUUGUUGCAGUUAAAAAGCUCGUAGUUGAAUUUCGGGAUCAAUAUGUUGGUCGUGCCUUGGUACGUACUGGCAUUAUCAAUUCCUACCUUCUGAAGAACCUUGAUGUCAUUAAUUUGGUGUCUUGGGGAAUCAGGACUGUUACUUUGAAAAAAUUAGAGUGUUUAAAGCAGGCUCGCGCUUGAAUACAUUAGCAUGGAAUAAUGAAAUAGGACGUUUGAUUCUAUUUUGUUGGUUUCUAGGAUCGACGUAAUGAUUAAUAGGGAUAGUUGGGGGCAUUAGUAUUCAAUUGUCAGAGGUGAAAUUCUUGGAUUUAUUGAAGACUAACUACUGCGAAAGCAUUUGCCAAGGAUGUUUUCAUUAAUCAAGAACGAAAGUUAGGGGAUCGAAGACGAUCAGAUACCGUCGUAGUCUUAACCAUAAACUAUGCCGACUAGGGAUCGGAUGAUGUUAAUUUUUUAAUGACUCAUUCGGCGCCUUACG
rnacentral:rRNA from 1 species